rnacentral:rRNA from 1 species
GACGAACGCUGGCGGCGUGCCUAAUACAUGCAAGUCGAACGCUUUUUCUUUCACCGGAGCUUGCUCCACCGAAAGAAAAAGAGUGGCGAACGGGUGAGUAACACGUGGGUAACCUGCCCAUCAGAAGGGGAUAACACUUGGAAACAGGUGCUAAUACCGUAUAACACUAUUUUCCGCAUGGAAGAAAGUUGAAAGGCGCUUUUGCGUCACUGAUGGAUGGACCCGCGGUGCAUUAGCUAGUUGGUGAGGUAACGGCUCACCAAGGCAACGAUGCAUAGCCGACCUGAGAGGGUGAGCGGCCACACUGGGACUGAGACACGGCCCAGACUCCUACGGGAGGCAGCAGGAGGGAAUCUUCGGCAAUGGACGAAAGUCUGACCGAGCAACGCCGCGUGAGUGAAGAAGGUUUUCGGAUCGUAAAACUCUGUUGUUAGAGAAGAACAAGGAUGAGAGUAGAACGUUCAUCCCUUGACGGUAUCUAACCAGAAAGCCACGGCUAACUACGUGCCAGCAGCCGCGGUAA